AAAUAUCCUGGUGUCACCAGUUUUCGCCGAUAGUCGUCGACAUCGUCCUCAGAGGUGGCAGCUUCAUGAUGAAUUUCAUCCAAGACAUUUGAAGGGUUCAUGGAUGAGGGCGUACAUUAUCAAUAAUUGGCGCGCAUCGUUUUUCGAAAAAAUCAACAGAUGUUCCAUGAGACUCUUGCACUAAUUGUGUUUGGGUGGUCUUUGCAAAAGCAAGAGAUGGUGCAAUAGCAAUAUCACUUAUGACAUUGGCAUUGAAUGGGUGUAUUCCACAUCGACGGAAAGCAGACUGAAUGUUCACGGGUGUAAGCGUGGCUGUGUACACCUUACAUGCAAUACAACAUACAUCAUUUGUGGUAACAACAUAACCCCAAGUAACUCUAAUAUGGUGAUGGCAUGCCGCAUUCCAUGCAUUUUCAAACGGACCGAAACACGAGACGUCCAUGGGUUGAAGUAUGUGGCUACAAUGGGGCGGAAGAACACAUAGAAUUAUAUGAUUUGAUUUUGCCCAUUCUAUUAAACCAAUUGAGACAUGGCUUUUAUGACCGUCAUACAAUAUCAGGAUGGGGUUGUUAGCAUCACGUGUUGGAAGCAAGGGUUCAAGAUGGUAUUUUAUGUAAUGAGAAAAUAUGUCGGUAUUGGACCAGCCGGAGUCAGACA